GACGAACGCUGGCGGCGUGCUUAACACAUGCAAGUCGAACGGUGAAGCUCCAGCUUGCUGGAGUGGAUCAGUGGCGAACGGGUGAGUAACACGUGAGCAACCUGCCCCUGACUCUGGAAUAAGCGCUGGAAACGGCGUCUAAUACUGGAUACGAGAAGGGCCCGCAUGGGCACUUUCUGGAAAGUUUUUCGGUUGGGGAUGGGCUCGCGGCCUAUCAGCUUGUUGGUGAGGUAAUGGCUCACCAAGGCGACGACGGGUAGCCGGCCUGAGAGGGCGACCGGCCACACUGGGACUGAGAAACGGCCCAGCCUCCUACGGGAGGCAGCAGUGGGGAAUAUUGCACAAUGGGCGAAAGCCUGAUGCAGCGACGCCGCGUGAGGGAUGACGGCCUUCGGGUUGUAAACCUCUUUCAGCAGGGAAGAAGCGAAAGUGACGGUACCUGCAGAAGAAGCACCGGCUAACUACGUG
rnacentral:rRNA from 1 species